rnacentral:sRNA from 1 species
ACACGAGGUCUGAGAGGGAGAGGCAGCGUGUGUGAGCUGCUUGCUGGUGCGGUGGUCAGCGCGAUGCCCAAGGCCAAGGGCAAAACCCGGAGGCAGAAGUUUGGUUACAGUGUCAACCGAAAGCGUCUGAACAGGAAUGCUCGACGGAAAGCAGCGCCGCGGAUCGAAUGCUCCCACAUCCGACAUGCCUGGGACCACGCUAAAUCGGUGCGGCAGAACCUGGCCGAGAUGGGGUUGGCUGUGGACCCCAACAGGGCGGUGCCCCUCCGUAAGAGAAAGGUGAAGGCCAUGGAGGUGGACACAGAGGAGAGGCCUAAAGAGCUUGUACUGAAGCCCUAUGUGCUGAAUGGUGGGUGUGGUCCAUAUAUUCCUUUAGGUCACUGUCCUGCACUGUGGGAAGCUGGGAAGGGCCCUAAGAUGUCCUCAUUUUGCAGAAACCAAGUUUCAGAGGGGAGAAGUGAGCUGGUUCAAAGUUCACAGAGUUAGGACUGUGUCCUGGCUGGCUCAUUUUUCAUUGUACUGACUAAACCCUGACCUUACUGUGUGAACUAAGGUCAGAGAUGUUUAGGGAGGAUGUACCCAGGUGCCUGGGAGAAUAGAAGAGAAACCAGUAAAUCUCAGGCAUGUGUAUGGCUUCUCAUGAAUUUAAGGAUGAACUGAUUUUUAGGGAUUCCACCAUCUCAAUAAAUGUUUCCAAUGACAAAAUCGAUUUUAUGUAUAUUAAGGCUAUAGAGAGUGAACCCUACAGGAAAGUGGGACUACUCUAGAAUUCUUCAUUCAUCCUUCCCCUUACCUGUCGGGGAGUUUAAGCAGCUCCCCUAAAGAUAAAGGAUUUGAAUGGCCAGAAAUUUGAUACAGAAUUCCUUGAGUUCCUGUCUUUAUCUCAGUGGUUCUCAUAAGAAUUACUGCACAGGAUUGUAUACGCCAAGCCAUGUGCACUUACUGUAGUCAAAGAGAAACAUUUUUCAAAAUGUUAAAUUGUGGUUAAAAAAAUAAUAAAAGUUACCAUCCUAAUCAUUUUUAAGUGUACUGUUCAGUAAAGUAGAUUCACUUUGUUGUGCAACAGCUCCCUAAAACCUUUUCAUUUUGCAAAACUGAAACUAUACCCAUUAAACAACUCCCCAUCUUCCCCUACCU